GAUUGGAGAAAAUGUUGAAUUAGUAACUUUUUGAUUCCAAUUGAUUGUGAUCUCGUUUUAUCGAUUGGUGAUCAAAGUUAACGUCUCACUUGUAAUUAGUAAAUUGUUGUAAAUUAUCUAAUUCGUCAACAAUGUAGUCUAAACAUUUUCUUCUAAAAAUGUCUCUUUAAGCUUUUCUCUCUCUUUGGUUCUGUCUCCCUCUCGAUCUGUGUUUAGAUCGCAAGUUAAUAUCAAUCAUUUUCUUCGCGUUUUUUUCUUGUGUUUUUCUAUUCUUUUUUCUCACCAUUUUAAUUGUGUUUCUCUCUUGUGGUUGAUCAUCUUUUUUUUUCUUUUUGAUUGCUGCCAAUUUCUACAAUCAAUUGUUCAACAUGGAAUGUACCUUCUUAUUAAUCACUGCAAAUGUUGGUUCCCUUUUUGAAGAUCCUGAAGGUCUUCUUAAAUUAUGGCUUGAUGAAUUUUUCAAGACCAUAAGUGAAUCUAAUCCAAUGUUCAUCGCAUUACAUUGUCAAGAAGUUGGCGGAAAAACUUAUGAAAUAUCCAUGAAAAAUGUACAACAAUUUGUCAAUUACCUCGUUGAAAGCGAAACACUACAAAACUAUUCAAAUGCUCGAGUUUUCUUGGAUGAAGAUUUCACGUGCACCAAAAAUUUCACGGCUCUUGGAAGUUUCUAUUUUAUUCAUGAAGCUGUAAAGAACAUCAAGAUUUGGAAUUUUCAAGAUAAAAGUUUUCAUCCUGUUCAUGGAAAAGAAAUUUUCUCCGGAAACAUUGAAGAAGUUUCUUUCAAAGAAAAAGCCAAAUUUCCACAAGAAUUUUUUCCAGAGUGUAAAUGGUCACGAAAGGGUUUUAUGAGAACUCGCUGGUUCUGUAACGAUAUCAUUUACGAUUUAACCAACAUUCAUCUUUUUCAUGAUGCUUCAAACUUCAUUGCCAUGGAAUCAUGUCCAUCUUCUUACUCAACAAUCAGGCUUCAUGCUCUUCAAUAUGUUCUGGACAGAUUCUCGAACGAUGCUUAUGAAAAAGUUCCUCUUUUCAUCUUUGGAGAUUUCAAUUUCAGGCUUGACACUAAAGCCGCUAUUCAGAGAAUCACUGAAAAUUUUGCCCAAGUACAAAUGAGAAAUGAAAAUAGUGGUGCCAUAGAAAAGAUACUUUAUAAUGACCCGGAUUCUGAUGAUAAAACUGUUCUUACUUUGGAAAAAAAAGUAUUCGAUCUGAUUGAUCAUGAUGAAAUUUUCCUCAAUGAAGAAAAUCGUGAUUGGCUUCUUGAUAUGGAUAAAGAAGUUAAGUCAUUUGAAGAUCAACUUUUCGAGUGUGACAUUAACUUCCCUCCAAGUUAUCCGUUCACCGAAGAUUCGACAAGUUCGUCUUAUAUGAAAACUCGUUGUCCCGCUUGGUGUGAUAGGAUUCUCAUGAAUAACUUGGCCAUGGAACUAUUAAAGAGUCAAUCGGAAAAUGGUGUUAAAUAUGAAAUGAUUGGUAAACAUGUUCCAAUGGGCGAUCAUAAGCCAAUUUCUCUAUGGUUUAAGGUGAUUUCUAGUGCAGGUAAAUGGCGAAGUGGAUUUGCUUUAUUACCCAAACGAAAACGUGAUGAUCCUUUGCAUGAUUGUGAUUAUGAGACCAAUAGUCAUAGUGAUAGAUCCAAACCUCGCCUGAGAACCUUUUCCAUUCCCUCUAUCAGUCGACCCAUCAAAUCGCACCCUAAAGCACGAAGAACCGCAUCAGCUGUUUCCGGCUGUAAGCCCAUUUACCAUAAUCAAGAUUGGUACACUCGAACCCAAGAAUUGUUCCGUUCUUUUCGAGAGUCAACAUAUAAUUUAACCAAAGCUUCAUCAAGUAGAUUAACAAGUCACCAUUCCAGCUCUUCGGAAGAAUGGUAUUCAGACUUACCUGUAGAUCUCAACAAUGCCAAUAACAAUAGUUUGGAGAUGAGUAAAAACACCAAUAGCCAAACGAACACGGGUAAACUUGGACCAAUCGAUUGUGUGACUUUAGAAGCAGAUUCAAAGCUAAAUAAUAUCGUCUCUUAUUUGGAGAGACCAAAAAAACCUAAAGGUCAUCAUAAUCUUGAGCAUCGUUUAAGUGAUGUAAAGGAAAGUGUUGAACUAAUUGAUGGUCAAGGUGAAGAUGAAGAUUAUGAAUUAAAUGAAGACAAUUCAAUGAAAAGUAAACAAUUGACUGGUGAUUCUUUAAAUGGAUUCAAAAUUAAAUCAUCCGAGUAUAAUAAGAAAACUAAUGAAAGUAAAUCAAAGUUUAUCUACAACAAACGACGAGAAUCAUGUCCAAAGUAUUGCUCCGUAAUCUGAGAGACUGGAACACUGACCACAAUCAAAUCCUCCAUCUAAUCAACUCUUUUUUUUGACAAUCAUAUUACACUCACCAUAAUUAUUUUUGUUUAAUUAGUCUAAUUUUUUUAAAUAUUGUUCACAUCUUGAUUAAUUUGUUCAACAUCAACUUGCCUCCUGAUGAAAAGUGAAAAGUAUUGACCAUUAUACUUAUAUGAAAAUCCUGCGAGAUUUUAACCUGAAUCGGGAAACCAAAUGAUCGACUUGGUCUCAACUAUCAACGAAAAUCGACAACUUAAUCAAAUUAUUUUGUUGAUCAUCUUUUAGAUCAUCUUUUCGUUACAAUUUAAAUCUUGUUACCAAAUGACCUUAAUCUCGAAAUGAGACUGAAUCGAUUUGUUGUUGCACGUUCACUCGAACCACCGUUAGAACAUUUUUACUUUUUGUUUCGUCCAAUGGUUAACCCUUUUUACUUUUUAUUUUUGAAUCUCGUUUAUUAUUCACUGACCAUGAUUAUUAUCACCACCAAUUGCAUGUGCCUUUAAACUGACCACCAAUUAAAUGCUGAUAACAUUGAAAGGCAAUCAGGAAGAAUCAGUGAAACAAUUAAACAACAACAUAUCAAUAACAAUCACAAAGAGACCAAAUUAAUUAACGAUCAAAUCGAUACCUGUUGUACCAGAACCGAUGAAACCGGGACCCGUUAUG